GUUUAUAAGUUAUGAGCAUUAAAAAAUAUUUGUUGGAGACAGAAGAAAAUCUGAUGGCGGUAAAGAAUCGAUUCUGACGUGCAAAUCGAUCAUCUAAAGAUCAACUCGAAUAAUCUAGUAGCUAGUUCCGUCUGAAAUUUUCUUCAGCUAAAGUACGUAAUGAAGCUGUUAUAUUCGGUAAAGCGAAUGAUUAGAGGAAUUUUGGGACGAAACGUCUUCAACCUAUUCGCAAACUUUCAAAUAAAAUUUGACGUCUCGUUUGCUUGAAUGAAGCAUAGAAAUUGAAUAUGUGCUCCAAAUGAGCCAUUUUUAGUAAGCAGAACUAGCGCUGUGGGAUGAAACAAACAUUAAGUUAAAAUAUAAAUCUUCCGCUCAAGCAUCAUCCAUUUUCAGGGCUAAUUGAUUUAUUAUUGUCAAAUAUAUCUGUUGAUGUUUCUGUUCCAAAAAUAUAUUUGUUCAUGAAUAACAAGCAUAAAU
rnacentral:ncRNA from 1 species